rnacentral:rRNA from 1 species
CCUACGGGAGGCAGCAGUGGGGAAUAUUGCGCAAUGGGCGAAAGCCUGACGCCGCGACGCCGCGUGAGGGAUGAAGGUCUUCGGAUCGUACACCUCUGUCAGCAGUGAAGAACGGUCACUGUGCUAAUCAGCAGUGAAUUGACUGUACCUGCAAAGGAAGCACCGGCUAACUCCGUGCCAGCAGCCGCGGUAAUACGUAGGGUGCGAGCGUUAAUCGGAAUUACUGGGCGUAAAGCGCUCGUAGGCGGUAUGUCAAGUCAACGGUGAAAUCCCCGCGCUCAACGUGGGAACUGCCUUUGAAACUGGCAAACUGGAGUGUGUGAGAGGAUAGUGGAAUUCCAGGUGUAGGAGUGAAAUCCGUAGAUAUCUGGAGGAACAUCAGUGGCGAAGGCGACUAUCUGGCACAUAACUGACGCUGAGGAGCGAAAGCGUGGGUAGCAAACAGGAUUAGAUACCCCAGUAGUC